UAUAAUGACUCACUAAACAUAUAUAGAAUAAUGUUGCAUCCUAUUUAUUGCACAUUGCAGUUCAAGACAUAGAAAGGGAGUGGGAGUGUGGAAACUGUGAAGUGAAAACUACAAAAUCAAAUACGGUUCUAUGUGAAGGCUCAUGUUCAAAGUGGUUCCAUUGGGAUUGUGUUGGUAUUCAGUCUGCGCCUCCUACAAGUUGGCAAUGCAGUACAUGCCUUCUAAGCAAAGUGCCAAUGAAAUGUAAUUGUAAAACUGAAUCUCAAGAUGUUCAAAUCCAGGCAUAUAAAACAGUUCAAUUCUUGAAAAAAGCAUCUACAUUGUCACUAGCUUUAAACAAUAUGACAAGAACGGUGAAAGACAUCAGCAGACAUAUGACAGCAUGAUCCAGGGUUGAUUUUAGGGGGUAUUGAACAAAAAUCUGCUUCCAUGCCCAGGAACUGUAGUACGUAUUCUGCAGUCAGCCAUUACUAUGCCCACGACCUCAACAACACAACAAACUUACACUGUUAAUAUUAAACCGAUUCCUGCUAGCAGAAAGAAAAAAGAAGAGACAAAGUCGUAGGAGAUGGCAAUUGCCUUUUCAGAGCUCUUUCAAAGCAGCUGUUUGGAUCAGAUGACACACACAAAGACAUAGAAUGUACCUCAGCCAAGUGAUCAACCUCAACAGUCAAGUUUAUUCAACAUACUUUAUACCUUGCAGACAGACAAAACGUUUGAAGAACUUAAGCAAAAUAUACAGGUUCCUGGCACAUGGGGCACUCAGCUUGAGCUACAAGCAGUCAGUGACUGCUUCCAAUUGCCAGUGUAUGUUUACUCACCACAUCCCGGGAGUGGUAUCUACAGAUGGCUCAUCUUCCGACCUAGGAUCAAAUUGCUUCAUGUGCCAAGUAAAGUCGUGUUACCUAAACCCUCUCUUCCAUACACUGAAAUUGACAUCCAACUGGCACAUACCGGGUGUCACUAUGACAGUGUCACCAGUUCUGUGGCACUUGAUCAGAAAUUAAACUGUCCUCAUCUUCCAGAUCUAGAUGAAGCAUUUGAGACUAGAAUAAUAAGCAGUGACAGUGACAGCGACUCAGAAGAACUUUAAGCAGUUUGUUGCGAUUACAAGUAUUUUGCUUUGUCUGAAAUUACUUAACAAAUUAUUUUGCUGCCGUAAUCAAUGGCAACUUCAUUGGGUAAAUUUACCAAAUCCCCACAUCAUUGUAACACUACUUCCAUAGCUCUGUUUCUUAGCUUUGUUUCUUUCUUUUAUCAAC